ensembl:misc_RNA Y_RNA Y RNA
GGCUAGUCUGAGUGCAUUGUGCUUAUAACUAAUUGAUCACAGCCAGUUACAGAUUCUUCGAUUCCCACUGCUUCACUUGACUAGCCUAAU